GACGAACGCUGGCGGCAGGCUUAACACAUGCAAGUCGAGCGAGCGGCGGACGGGUGAGUAAUGUCUGGGAAAAUGCCUGGUGGAGGGGGAUCACUACUGGAAACGGUAGCUAAUACAGCAUACCAUCAGAUGUGCACAGAUGGGAUUAGCUAGUAGGUGGGGUAAUGGCUCAACUAGGCGACGAUCCCUAGCUGGUCUGAGAGGAUGAACAGCCACACGGGAACUGAGACACGGUCCAGACUCCUACGGGAGCCAGCAGUGGGGAAUAUUGCACAAUGGGCGCAGGCCUGAUGAAGCCAUGCGGCGUGUGUGAAGAAGGCCUUCGGGUUGUAAAGCACUGUCAGCGAGGAGGCGUUACUCGCAGAAGAAGCACCGGCUAACUCCGUGCCAGCAGCCGCGGUAAUAC
rnacentral:rRNA from 1 species